rnacentral:rRNA from 1 species
UACGUAGGGGGCUAGCGUUGUCCGGAAUCAUUGGGCGUAAAGCGCGUGUAGGCGGUUCGGUAAGUCCGCUGUGAAAGUCGGGGGCUCAACCCUCGAAAGCCGGUGGAUACUGUCGGGCUAGAGUACGGAAGAGGCGAGUGGAAUUCCUGGUGUAGCGGUGAAAUGCGCAGAUAUCAGGAGGAACACCAAUUGCGAAGGCAGCUCGCUGGGACGUUACUGACGCUGAGACGCGAAAGCUAGGGGAGCAAACGGG